GCUCUUGCUUCAGCAGCGCAUACGCUAACAUUGGAACAAUGCAGAAAUUAGCAUGGCCCCUGCGCAAAGAUGGCAUGCAAAUUCAUGAAGCCAAAAAAAAUAUC